rnacentral:tRNA from 1 species
CCUUCGAUAGCUCAGUUGGUAGAGCGGUGGACUGUAGAUGUGAGCUUUGAGCUGCAAUGGUAAUCCAUAGGUCGCUGGUUCAAAUCCGGCUCGAAGGA